rnacentral:rRNA from 1 species
CACGUAGGGCGCAAGCGUUGUCCGGAUUUAUUGGGCGUAAAGAGCUCGUAGGCGGUUUGUCGCGUCGACUGUGAAAACCUACAGCUUAACUGUGGGCUUGCAGUCGAUACGGGCGGCCUGGAGGGGGGUAGGGGGGUCUGGAACUUCCGGUGGAGCGGUGAAAUGCGUUGAGAUCGGAAGGAACGCCGGUGGCGAAAGCGAGGCCCUGGACCCUUACUGACGCUGAGACGCGAAAGCCAGGGGAGCGAACGGG